GAUGAAGAACGCAGCAAAAUGCGAUAAGUAGUGUGAAUUGCAGAAUUCAGUGAAUCAUCGAAUCUUUGAACGCACAUUGCGCCCCUUGGUAUUCCAUGGGGCAUGCCUGUUCGAGCGUCAUUUGUACCUUCAAGCUUUGCUUGGUGUUGGGCGUUUUUUGUCUCCCUCUUUCUGGGAGACUCGCCUUAAAACGAUUGGCAGCCGGCUUACUGGUUUCGGAGCGCAGCACAUAUUUUGCGCUUUGUAUCAGGAGAAAAGGACGGUAAUCCAUCAAGACUCUACAUUUUUAACUUUUGACCUCGGAUCAGGUAGGUAUACCCGCUGAACUUAAGCAUAUCAAUAAGCGGAGGA
rnacentral:misc_RNA from 1 species